rnacentral:rRNA from 1 species
GGUAACCUGCCCAUCAGAAGGGGAUAACACUUGGAAACAGGUGCUAAUACCGUAUAACAAUCGAAACCGCAUGGUUUUGAUUUGAAAGGCGCUUUCGGGUGUCGCUGAUGGAUGGACCCGCGGUGCAUUAGCUAGUUGGUGAGGUAACGGCUCACCAAGGCCACGAUGCAUAGCCGACCUGAGAGGGUGAUCGGCCACAUUGGGACUGAGACACGGCCCAAACUCCUACGGGAGGCAGCAGUAGGGAAUCUUCGGCAAUGGACGAAAGUCUGACCGAGCAACGCCGCGUGAGUGAAGAAGGUUUUCGGAUCGUAAAACUCUGUUGUUAGAGAAGAACAAGGAUGAGAGUAACUGUUCAUCCCUUGACGGUAUCUAACCAGAAAGCCACGGCUAACUACGUGCCAGCAGCCGCGGUAAUACGUAGGUGGCAAGCGUUGUCCGGAUUUAUUGGGCGUAAAGCGAGCGCAGGCGGUUUCUUAAGUCUGAUGUGAAAGCCCCCGGCUCAACCGGGGAGGGUCAUUGGAAACUGGGAGACUUGAGUGCAGAAGAGGAGAGUGGAAUUCCAUGUGUAGCGGUGAAAUGCGUAGAUAUAUGGAGGAACACCAGUGGCGAAGGCGGCUCUCUGGUCUGUAACUGACGCUGAGGCUCGAAAGCGUGGGGAGCAAACAGGAUUAGAUACCCUGGUAGUCCACGCCGUAAACGAUGAGUGCUAAGUGUUGGAGGGUUUCCGCCCUUCAGUGCUGCAGCUAACGCAUUAAGCACUCCGCCUGGGGAGUACGACCGCAAGGUUGAAACUCAAAGGAAUUGACGGGGGCCCGCACAAGCGGUGGAGCAUGUGGUUUAAUUCGAAGCAACGCGAAGAACCUUACCAGGUCUUGACAUCCUUUGACCACUCUAGAGAUAGAGCUUCCCCUUCGGGGGCAAAGUGACAGGUGGUGCAUGGUUGUCGUCAGCUCGUGUCGUGAGAUGUUGGGUUAAGUCCCGCAACGAGCGCAACCCUUAUUGUUAGUUGCCAUCAUUCAGUUGGGCACUCUAGCAAGACUGCCGGUGACAAACCGGAGGAAGGUGGGGAUGACGUCAAAUCAUCAUGCCCCUUAUGACCUGGGCUACACACGUGCUACAAUGGGAAGUACAACGAGUCGCGAAGUCGCGAGGCUAAGCUAAUCUCUUAAAGCUUCUCUCAGUUCGGAUUGUAGGCUGCAACUCGCCUACAUGAAGCCGGAAUCGCUAGUAAUCGCGGAUCAGCACGCCGCGGUGAAUACGUUCCCGGGCCUUGUACACACCGCCCGUCACACCACGAGAGUUUUAACACCCGAAGUCGGUGAGGAACCUU